GGGGCUGUUACUCAGUGGUGGAGUGCUCAUCUAGUAUGUGCGAGGCCCUGGGUUCGAUCCUCAGCAUCACA
rnacentral:tRNA from 1 species